GGGGAUUUAGCUCAGUGGUAGAGCACUUGCCUAGCAAGCACAAGACCCUGGGUUCGGUCCUCAGCUCCA
rnacentral:tRNA from 1 species